UCCACCAUGGGCUCCGGGUUCCUCUGCUGUAUGGUCCUCUGCCUCCUGGGAGCAGCACCCCUGGACACAACAGUUUCCCAGACUCCAAGAUACCUCAUCGCGCACGUGGGAUCUAAGAAGUCACUAAAAUGUGAACAAAAUCUGGGCCAUAAUGCUAUGUACUGGUAUAAGCAAGACCUCAAGCAACUGCUGAAUGUUAUGUUUAUCUACAACAAUAAGGAACUCAUUCUAAAUGAAUCAGUUCCAGGUCGUUUCUCACCUGAGACAUCUGACAAAGCUCAUUUAAACCUUCAUGUCGACUCCCUGGAGACAGGUGACUCUGCUGUGUAUUUCUGUGCCAGCAGUCAAGACACAGCCCUGCAAAGUCACUACCUCCCUGUGCACAAACCCCCUGGCUCAGCCAGGCAACUGUACACCAGGGCUACAUGUUCACCUGACCCUGAGGCCCCUUUCACUCCCAGUGAGCUUCCUGACUGGAGUUUCUUAUCUCUAGUACAGGCUGCCAACAUCCUUGAUGGGGCAGAUCUACAGUUAUGCUCUGAGAAGCCUUACAUAAUUCUACUUAUCAGCCUAAAGAGGAAAAACAGAUGA